GCAGGAGGGCCUUUACAUUUACUGCUUGUGGGCUAUAAGCAGGCUCUUCUCUCACCUUCUCCUUAACCUGUAGAGCUAAACACAGCACCUCUUAGUGUU